rnacentral:rRNA from 1 species
GAUGAACGCUGGCGGCGUGCCUAAUACAUGCAAGUCGAGCGAACAGAUGAGGAGCUUGCUCCUCUGACGUUAGCGGCGGACGGGUGAGUAACACGUGGAUAACCUACCUAUAAGACUGGGAUAACUUCGGGAAACCGGAGCUAAUACCGGAUAAUAUAUUGAACCACAUGGUUCAAUAGUGAAAGACGGUUUUGCUGUCACUUAUAGAUGGAUCCGCGCCGCAUUAGCUAGUUGGUAAGGUAACGGCUUACCAAGGCAACGAUGCGUAGCCGACCUGAGAGGGUGAUCGGCCAAACUGGAACUGAGACACGGUCCAGACUCCUACGGGAGGCAGCAGUAGGGAAUCUUCCGCAAUGGGCGAAAGCCUGACGGAGCAACGCCGCGUGAGUGAUGAAGGUCUUCGGAUCGUAAAACUCUGUUAUUAGGGAAGAACAAAUGUGUAAGUAACUAUGCACGUCUUGACGGUACCUAAUCAGAAAGCCACGGCUAACUA